rnacentral:rRNA from 1 species
UACAGAGGGGGCAAGCGUUGUUCGGAAUUACUGGGCGUAAAGGGCGCGUAGGCGGCCUUCUAAGUCGAACGUGAAAUCCCUGGGCUCAACCCAGGAACUGCGUCCGAUACUGGAAGGCUUGAAUCCGGGAGAGGGAUGCGGAAUUCCAGGUGUAGCGGUGAAAUGCGUAGAUAUCUGGAGGAACACCGGUGGCGAAGGCGGCGACCUGGUCCGUUACUGACGCUGAGGCGCGACAGCGUGGGGAGCAAACAGG